AGUGAACGCUGGCGGCAGGCCUAAUACAUGCAAGUCGAACGGCAGCACAGCAGAGCUUGCUCUGUGGGUGGCGAGUGGCGGACGGGUGAGGAAUACGUGGGAAUCUGCCCAGUCGUGGGGGAUAACGUAGGGAAACUUACGCUAAUACCGCAUGCGCCCUUCGGGGGAAAGCCGGGGACCUUCGGGCCUGGCGCGAUUGGAUGAGCCCACGUCGGAUUAGCUAGUUGGCGGGGUAAAGGCCCACCAAGGCGACGAUCCGUAGCUGGUCUGAGAGGAUGAUCAGCCACACUGGAACUGAGACACGGUCCAGACUCCUACGGGAGGCAGCAGUAGGGAAUAUUGGACAAUGGGCGCAAGCCUGAUCCAGCCAUGCCGCGUGAGUGAAGAAGGCCCUCGGGUUGUAAAGCUCUUUUGUCCGGAAAGAAAAGCGCCGGGUUAAUACCCUGGUGUCCUGACGGUACCGGAAGAAUAAGCACCGGCUAACUCGUGCCAGCAGCCGCGGUAA
rnacentral:rRNA from 1 species